UACGUAGGGGGCAAGCGUUGUCCGGAAUCAUUGGGCGUAAAGAGCGUGUAGGCGGCUUGGCAAGUCUGGUGUGAAAUCUUGCGGCUCAACCGCAAGCGGUCACUGGAAACUGCCUCGCUGGAGUCCGGAAGAGGAGAGCGGAAUUCCUGGUGUAGCGGUGGAAUGCGCAGAUAUCAGGAAGAACACCCGUGGCGAAGGCGGCUCUCUGGGACGGUACUGACGCUGAGACGCGAAAGCGUGGGGAGCGAACAGG
rnacentral:rRNA from 1 species